CCUACGGGAGGCAGCAGUAAGGAAUCUUGCGCAAUGGGCGAAAGCCUGACGCAGCGACGCCGCGUGGGCGAUGAAGGCCUUCGGGUUGUAAAGCCCUUUUCUGGGGGAACAAAUUUUGAGUGUACCCCAGGAAUAAGCCACGGCUAACUACGUGCCAGCAGCCGCGGUAAUACGUAGGUGGCAAGCGUUAUCCGGAAUCACUGGGCGUAAAGCGUCCGCAGGUGGGAAAGCAAGUUACAUGUGAAAUACCGGGGCUCAACAUCGGAAUUGCAUGUAAAACUACUUGUCUAGAGGGUGGGAGAGGCGAGUGGAAUUCUCGGUGUAGGGGUAAAAUCCAUAGAUAUCGAGAGGAACACCAAAAGCGAAGGCAGCUCGCUGGAACAUUCCUGACACUCAUGGACGAAAGCGUGGGGAGCGAAAAGGAUUAGAUACCCUUGUAGU
rnacentral:rRNA from 1 species